rnacentral:rRNA from 1 species
UUGCUAUAAUUGUCAGCUAAGUGGCGCACGGGUGAGUAAUGUAUAGAUAACCUGCCCUUAAGAAAGGAAUAACAGUUGGAAACGACUGCUAAUGCCCUAUAUGCCUUUAAUACAUAAGUAUGCAAGGGAAACGCUUUAGUGCUUAAGGAUGGGUCUGUAUGGUAUCAGCUUGUUGGUGAGGUAAUGGCUCACCAAGGCUAUGACGCCUAACUGGUUUGAGAGGAUGAUCAGUCACACUGGAACUGAGACACGGUCCAGACUCCUACGGGAGGCAGCAGUGGGGAAUAUUGCACAAUGGACGAAAGUCUGAUGCAGCAACGCCGCGUGGAGGAUGACACAUUUCGGUGCGUAAACUCCUUUUAUAUAGGAAGAUAAUGACGGUACUAUAUGAAUAAGCACCGGCUAACUCCGUGCCAGCAGCCGCGGUAAUACGGAGGGUGCAAGCGUUACUCGGAAUCACUGGGCGUAAAGAGCGUGUAGGCGGGUAUAUAAGUCAGAAGUGAAAUCCAAUAGCUCAACUAUUGAACUGCUUUUGAAACUGUAUACCUAGAAUGUGGGAGAGGUAGAUGGAAUUUCUGGUGUAGGGGUAAAAUCCGUAGAGAUCAGAAGGAAUACCGAUUGCGAAGGCGAUCUACUGGAACAUUAUUGACGCUGAGACGCGAAAGCGUGGGGAGCAAACAGGAUUAGAUACCCUGGUAGUCCACGCCCUAAACGAUGUACACUAGUUGUUGUGAGGCUCGACCUUGCAGUAAUGCAGUUAACACAUUAAGUGUACCGCCUGGGGAGUACGGUCGCAAGAUU